GCCGACUUAACUCAGCAGGUAGAGUACUGUCUUGGUAAGACAGAAGUCACGGGUUCGAGUCCCGUAGUCGGCUCCA
rnacentral:tRNA from 1 species